GUCCACGCUGUAAACGAUGCUGACUAGGCACGGGAGAGUAUCGACCCUCUUCUGCGCCGAAGCUAACGCGUUAAGUCAGCCGCCUGGGGAGUACGGUCGCAAGACUAAAACUCAAAGGAAUUGACGGGGAUCCGCACAAGCGGUGGAGCAUGUGGUUCAAUUCGACGAUAAGCGAGGAACCUUACCUGGCUUUGACAUGUACCUGCAAGCGCUAGAGAUAGCGUCGCCUUCGAGGGUGGUACACAGGUGCUGCACGGUUGUCGU
rnacentral:rRNA from 1 species